rnacentral:rRNA from 1 species
GUUUCAGCAGCCGCGGUAAUACGAGAGGCCCAAACGUUAUUCGGAUUUACUGGGCUUAAAGAGUUUGUAGGCGGUUCGGUAAGUGAGAUGUGAAAGCCCUCGGCUCAACCGAGGAAUUGCGUUUCAAACUGCCGGGCUCGAGGGAGAUAGAGGUGAGCGGAACUGAUGGUGGAGCGGUGAAAUGCGUUGAUAUCAUCAGGAACACCAGAGGCGAAGGCGGCUCACUGGGUCUCUUCUGACGCUGAGAAACGAAAGCUAGGGGAGCAAACGGGAUUAGAUACCCUAGUAGUCC